ensembl:lncRNA
CAGGAAAUAAAGACAUAAAUGUAGCAGAAAUAGCUUCUGUAUAAGGAGUGUGGAUGGGAAAGGACUGAGGACAUACUGUACAAGGUCCAGCAGAAUGUCCAUAAAUGGCACCAGUGGAGGGAAAUGAGUUCCACGUGUGGGAAAGAGCUGGAGCUGAAAAUUGGAUCAUCCUGUAGAAGAUUUCAGGAAGAGGUGGAAGAUUUGAAGUUGGGUGAGAAGACAUAGUUCAUAAUUCUUGCAGCACAAAUGCUCAUCUCAAUCAGCGAUGACCUGCUCUCCAUAAAUCAAAAGGUAAUGUAAAACAAGGUGGAGGAGAAAAACGGAAAUGUGCUUUCCUUUCCCAUCUCACCCUCCCGUUGUCUCAGAAGAGAAAAACGGAAGUCGACAGAUCAUUCACAACAUCAGAGGCAAAGAUUAAUGGUUUAUCCUUGAGAGCAG